UGCGCCAAAUCUAUGGGCUCACCAGGGUACAAUGUCGAAGUCUGUGAUCCGAUUGUGUUCGAUUACUAUAAAUGCGUCUUAAAAACUUCAGGACUUCUUAAAGCCGACGGCUCUUUCGACGACGCGGCCUUCAAGAAAACAGCAUUGCAGAACAAGUGCAGCUCGGACGCCAAGUUCUCAACCGCUUACCAGUCUUGCAGGGACUCUACCAUGAAAUACUUGAACUUACCUCGAUUCAUCAUUUGCCUAGUUAAAAAAUUAGAACUUUGAGGCAACUGAAAGAGAAUGAAAUCACCCGGAACACUGCGGAUUAAACUUAUACGGACCACGGCAAAUUGAACUCACCCUGAUUACGGCGAACCGAAUUCAUACGGAACACCACAAACAGUACUCAACCCGAACACGUCUGACUGAAUUCAUACGCAGCACUACAAACAGAAAUAACCCUGGACACGGCGAACUGAACUCACCCGGAACACGUUUGGACCCAACAUCAGUAUCUGGAUAGAUAUCUAUGUAAUGUUUGACCAUAUUAUUCACGAGCUCAUAAUGUAAGGAAGUGUUUUGAGGAAAAUCAUCUAUAUUGAUGAUUAUAAUCUAUAUCUUGAUCUAUAUAUCAAUCUAUA